AAAUCAUGAUGUGGGCAUUGUCUAAGCAUAUUAUUGUAUCUAUCCCAUGCUUCAAAUAAACAUUCUGAAUCGGAUUGUCUGAUAAGAUUUCUCACAUGAGCU